AUUGAACGCUGGCGGCAGGCCUAACACAUGCAAGUCGAGCGGAUGAAGGGAGCUUGCUCCUGGAUUCAGCGGCGGACGGGUGAGUAAUGCCUAGGAAUCUGCCUGGUAGUGGGGGAUAACGUCCGGAAACGGGCGCUAAUACCGCAUACGUCCUGAGGGAGAAAGUGGGGGAUCUUCGGACCUCACGCUAUCAGAUGAGCCUAGGUCGGAUUAGCUAGUUGGUGGGGUAAAGGCCUACCAAGGCACGAUCCGUAACUGGUCUGAGAGGAUGAUCAGUCACAAUGGGAAAGGAAACACGGCCAGACCUCCUGCGGGGGGGACCAGUGGGGAAUGGUGGACAAUGGGGGAAAGCAGGACCCAGCAAGGCGGGGGGUGUGAGGAAGGUCUUCGGAUGGUAAAGCUGUUUAAUUGGGGAGGAAGAGAAGUAGGUGAAUACGUUGCUGUUUUGACGUUACCAAAAAAAAAAGCCCCGGCUAACUACGUG
rnacentral:rRNA from 1 species